GCAUCAGGCCUAGGAGAUUUAGUUACCUUAAGUUUAUUUAAUUUGUCGCGUAGCUUGGCUUCAGUAAUAUUUAUAUUAUCGAUACACGAUUCAUUGGGUGCAGUAAGAGGGCAAGAAAUUGAGGUAGAAGGUUCAUCAGUAAAAACUUCGCAAAACUUAUCGGCAAACAUGUUGGCAUUUGUCAUGUCGUUCUCACAAAUGUCUCCCGACGCGUCUCUAAGUUUUGGUAUGGUUACAGGACCAUUGAGUUUGGUACGGAUGUAUUUAAAUAGUCUUUUGGAAUCGGCAGAGUUAAUAAUAUUUCUCUCGUAACGUGCCCUAGCAUCUCUAAUAAUCUUCGUCAAAUUGUUUGAAAAAGCCCUAUGAUUUUGAUAGUCUACUAUACUUCCGGUGCGCCUAUAAGCUCUCCAAAGCGCUCUCUUUUUAUUUAUUUGCCUCAAUAUUUUACUGUUUAUCCAAGGCUUCGACGAGGAUUGUUUCUUCACAAUUUUACGUGAACAGCUCUUUACUAAGGAGUAUACCGUAUCUUUGAAAAUUUCCCACAUGCAUUCAGUGGACAGAUUCAAAAGCACUGCAUUCCAAUUAAUCUUACUGAGUUUCUCAUUCAACUCGUCGAAGUUGGUAGACAGUUUAGUUUGACGGUUGACCCGGCCAACUGCAACUAAACACAGCUGAAGAUCAACCUUCAGCACGGUAUGGUCGGAUUUUCCAAGAGGACUGAGAUAUUGCAAACCACUGACAAGUGAUUCGUCAGUAGUCAAUAUAAGGUCAAGCACCGAAGGUGAUUGAUUGACCCGAAAGCGCGUAGGUUCCGAUAUUAUUUGAGAGAUCCGAGAAUCAGAAAGGAUAUCCAAAAAGAGCUGGGAGGAUGGCUUGAUAGCCUGAGGAGAAACUCGGCUCCAUACUAUAUCUGGCAUGUUAAAAUCACCAAAUAUGAGAGAAUCAUACUGGUCGGAGACCUUAACUAAGGCAUCAUAUAGCUUCAAGUCAUCGGUCAUAUCACAGUUAGGCGGUCUAUAUAUACAUGUAAGAACUAAGGUACAAUUGCUAUUAGUAAUUUUGAGGAAAAUCGAGUCAAUUGCACCCAGAUCAAACUGCAGAGGGGUGAUUAUAAAACUUUCAGCGAUAUCAUCGGCAACAUAAACACACACUCCCCCUCCUCUUUUGUGUAAUCUGUCCUUACGAUAAAGAAAGAGAGCGGGAUGGGUGGAUUUAACUAGCACUGACAAUUCGUCAAAUUUGGCUGUUAGUGAAGCGAUGUUUGUAUACAUUAUAGGUCUAACAAGAUGAUGUGAUAGUUUGGUUGAUUUUACGGUGUUGAAGAUGUUUACCAGAGUUUACGGACUUACUCCGUCUCCAUACCAGUGUAUGGGGCGGGCACUCGGUCACGCGGUAUAUUCUCAUAAGCUUUUUUAAUUCUUUUGCGCGUUCUCUUAAUUCUAUUCUGCAUGCUUCGAUGUUCAACCAAGGGAAAAAUAUCAAACAGCAUAGCCAGCAAUCCUUCGAUGUCGUCAGUGUACUUCAAAACCAAGUUAAGUAUAUCGUUUUCACCAACAACCUUUUCCAUUAGUUCUAUCAGCUCGCUGAAACUUAGCGGGUACUGGGCAUUUUCAACUAAUUCCUUGACUGGCUGCAACAAUUCCGGUGUAGGCGUCAGACUUUCUGUUGAAUCACAGGAUUUUUUUUUCUUAGGAUGUGGUGUAUCAAGGUCGUCAUCAUCUUCUGCAUGGGAAUCAGAGGAUCUCACGCAAUCUGGUAUAGGGGAAAUAUCGUCUGUGGGCGGUCGCUUAGACCCAACGUCGACAUUAGGGCAAUCUUGGGCAAAAUGCCCAAGUUGUCUACAUUUAAAGCAGACGUCGUCAAAAUUUAGAAAAAUGCGAUAGUUGGUGUCCUCGUAUUUCAGAACAAGAGAGGAGGGGAGAUCAAAGGAAUCUUCUGGUUGAACGUAAACCUGUCUGCGGAAACUUAAAACAUAGACUAAGGUAAAUCCUAUUCUUUUAACCAUUUCUUCAACAAUGGGGUGCGGAAUAGACGGGCACACAUUGGAUAGGAUAAUACGUCUUGCUGGGGUGCUCAGAAAUUAUUUGAUCGACGAACGAUUUAUUACUCAAGUAUAUGCAAAUCCGAUCAUUAGACAUUCUGGAAGCAAAACUAACAUUCUUAGGAGCAACUAUAUCACCUAUAGCCGCGACGUAAUCAACCAAUUUUAAAUCUUUAACGCCACCUAGCACAAUAGCUUGGUCCUUACUUGGGAACAAAGACUCAGAAGUCUCCAUUGGGAUUUAACAGAUAAUAAAAAAAAAAUAGAGAAAUUAGGCAUGUAUUAGCUGCACCCGCCAACCGGCGAGCGCAAAAAGGGAGCUCGAUAACCAGCCUUCUAAAGAAAACUGAUAUCACGCACUGCAAACAAUAUCAACGAGAAGAUAAGCGCCGGUUGAGAUACAUAAGCAAAGUAUGCCAAAAUCGGAACAGACUCACCGAAUUGCAAAACGACAGAUACGGAGCGCCCAAAAACGAACCGUUCACCUUCACUUCACAA